UCCUUUUUGAACGGUCGUGUAACCACGAAUGAUUUUCAACAUUUAAAUCUGUAAAAAUUCACUAUUGUCUGGACAACAAAACUCUACCAUACUAAAUGCUCAGCAUAAUCGCAGCCACUUUUGAAUCCAAGUUCAUUAAACAUAAUCUACAACGAGAGCAUAGUUAUAGAUAUAUUUAGGCGAUUAUUGUGCUUAAUAUUUGCAACAGGUUCACUCCCGACCAUAAAAUUUCCUGCUAACUCUUGAAGGUCCCCCCAACUUUAGUUGUACAUUUCUGCGCUUUCUUUUUGUGCCAGUAUAUGAAGGACGUGUGGAACAGGGGUCAAAUAUUAUGUUUAAGUCGAAUCCAAUCUAAUGGACAUUCAAUACAUGCUCCCAACUUAAACUAAA